rnacentral:rRNA from 1 species
GUCGAGAAUCUUCCGCAAUGCGCGAAAGCGUGACGGAGCGACACCGCGUGAUGGAUGAAGUCCUUCGGGGCGUAAACAUCUUUUAUAAAGGAGGAAAUUUUUGACGUUACUUUAUGAAUAAGGGGCUCCCAAUCUCGUGCCAGCAGGAGCGGUAAUACGAGAGCCUCAAGCGUUAUCCGGAAUCAUUGGGCGUAAAGGGUGCGUAGGUGGUUUGAUUAGUCUCCCGUUAAAACUUCGAGCUUAACUCGAAAAGAGCGGGGGAAACGGUCAAACUAGAGUAUGUGAGAGGUGUGUGGAACUCAUGGUGUAGCGGUGAAAUCCGUUGAUAUCAUGGGGAACACCAAAAGCGAAGGCAGCACACUGGCACAUCACUGACACUGAGGCACGAAACCUAAGGUAGCGAAUGGGAUUAGAUACCCGGGUAGUCC